CAGUGUGCGGCUCGCCGAGUGGCGGCUCGGCGCCCUUCCCUUUCAGCCCAUUGGCGGGCGUGGCCGAGCCGCGCGGGAGGCGGGAAGCGGGAGGCUGCCGGGGGCGGCCUCGCCUGAGGUGAGGGCUUCCUUGGUGUUGGCAGAGCCGGUGCUGGAGGUGAAUCACGGCACACGGCGGUGUUUCUCUCGUGCCUGUGUUUACACGUUAAAAGUCAGUUAUAAACCUGAAAUAAGCAGGGGAAAAAAAAGCGGCAAUGUCUUCUGAUGUGUCAGAAUAUACUAUUGGGGGAGUAAAGAUUAUAUUCCCUUGCAAGGCUUACCCUUCACAGCUUGCUAUGAUGAACGCUAUAGUUAAGGGCUUAAAUAGCAGGCAACACUGUUUGUUGGAGAGCCCCACAGGAAGCGGCAAAAGCUUGGCAUUACUUUGUUCUGCAUUAUCGUGGCAGCAGUCUAUGUAUGAGAAAUCACUGCUUAAAUCGUCAUGUGAAAAGGAAGACAAAGAGCCAGAAGCCUUACCACUGUGUCGCUGUACGUGUCAUUCCCAAUCGGAGAGCAGUGAGGCUGCUACAAGUGUGAAUCAUGGUGCUUCUUGUUCUUCUAAUAAUUAUGAAACAGAAAGUUCCAUAAAAACUGGAAGCCUGCAAACAAACACAGGAUGCAUGGAAAGCAAUACCCUAGCUUCAAAAUUGUCUGCCAAAAAAAGGGCAUCUCUAUGCGAAAGUGAGAGUGAUGAUUUUCAAGUAGACAGGAAAAGGAUUCGUCCUUUAGAAACUGAGCAACAGGUUAGAAAACGGCAUUGCUUUGCAAAGGGAGUCCAGCUAGUUGAUGCUUUAGAAGUUUAUAAUCAGAGAAAAAAUGGGGAGCUGAUUGUGCAUUCUGAAAAAAGUGUGAAAAACCUUACUUUUUCUCCCAAACCAUCUGUCAGCUCUUGCACUGAGUGUUCCUGUUCUUCUGGAAAAGAAGCUCAUAAAGAUGCUAGCAACACAAAGAAGAAAGACAAAGGAGAUCAGUUGUUCGUUCCCAAGAUAUUUUUUGGAACACGAACACACAAACAAAUAUCCCAGAUUACCAGAGAGUUGAAGAGAACAGCGUAUUCCAGUGUCCCUAUGACAAUUCUUUCUAGCCGGGAUCAUACCUGUAUUCAUCCAGUGGUGUCUAGUAGUAGUACUAACAGGAAUGAACUGUGUGUAGAAUUACUGGAAGGAAAACAUGGCAAGUCCUGUCCUUACUAUCAUGCUGUUCAUAAACUCAGUGAACACCAUGCCCUACAGUCCGCACAUAACCUGUACCAAGCUUGGGACAUUGAGGAUCUAGUCAGCCUGGGAAAGAAGCUUCGUGCCUGUGCAUAUUUUGCAGCCAGAGAGCUCAUGGUGGGAGCAGAUAUUGUAUUUUGUCCUUAUAAUUAUCUCCUAGACCCACAGAUACGGGAGAGUAUGGAAAUUAACCUAAAAGGCCAAGUAGUCAUUUUAGAUGAAGCCCACAAUAUUGAGGACUGUGCUCGGGAGUCAGUAAGUUUCAGCGUUACAGAAAGUCAACUCAGAGCUGCUCGAGAAGAGCUAGAUUCCAUGGUCAAUAACAACAUUAGGCAGAAGGAUCAUGAGCAUCUACGGGCUGUGUGCUACUCUUUGACAAACUGGUUAAAGGAGAGCUCUAGCCAACUUGUAGAAAGAGGGUAUGAAACUUCCUGUAAGGUUUGGAGUGGAAAAGAAAUGCUGAACAUUUUGCACAAAAUGGGAAUAACCAAUAUUACGUUUCCCAUUUUACAGAAACACCUUUCAGCUAUCUUGGAAAAAGAAGAAAAAAUAUCAAUGUUUGGUAGAGAGGAGCUUAUUGAGAUACCGGUUGUGAGCCCUGCCACACAGAUUGUGCUAAAAGGCUUAUUCAUGGUUCUUUUAUGUCUUUUUAAAGAUAAUAGCAGGUAUGCAGAUGACUACAGAGUUGCUCUACAACAAACGUAUACUUGGAUGAAUGAAAACCAGCCUGAUGUUUCAGAUUCCAGUGCCUUCUUUACAAAUACCAAACAGAAAAGGAAAGCGCGUCAUAAAACUGUAGUCCACAUGCUUAAUUUUUGGUGCUUGAAUCCUGCUGUGGCUUUUUCAGACUUAAAUGAUGUCAGAACAAUUGUUCUGACAUCUGGUACGCUCUCUCCAAUGGAUUCAUUUUCUUCAGAACUUGGCGUGAAGUUUUCUAUUCAGCUGGAGGCAAAUCAUGUUAUUCGGAACUCGCAGGUUUGGGUUGGCACCAUUGGAGCAGGCCCAAAUGGUCGGAAGCUGUGCGCCACAUUCCAACAUGCAGAGACCUUUGAGUUCCAAGAUGAGGUGGGAGCACUUCUGCUUGCAGUGUGUCAAACAGUUGGCCAAGGAAUUUUGUGUUUUUUGCCAUCCUAUAAGCUUUUGGACAAAUUAAAAGAUCGCUGGAUGCAUACUGGCUUAUGGAGAAACCUGGAGCUGGUUAAAACAGUCAUUGCAGAGCCUCAAGGAGGAGCAAAGAGUGACUUUGAUGAAUUGCUGAAAAUAUACUAUGAUGCAAUCAAAUGUAAAGGAGAAAAAGAUGGAGCACUCCUUAUAGCUGUAUGCAGAGGAAAAGUUAGCGAAGGCUUGGAUUUCUGUGAUGAGAAUGCCCGAGCAGUUGUAACCAUAGGUAUUCCGUUUCCAAAUGUGAAAGACCUUCAGGUUGAAUUAAAGAGGAAGUACAAUGACCAGCACAAAAAUUCGAGAGGCCUUUUACCAGGGAGUCAGUGGUAUGAAAUUCAAGCUUACAGGGCUCUGAACCAGGCCCUGGGAAGGUGUAUACGACAUAGGAGUGAUUGGGGUGCUCUUAUUCUAGUUGAUGACCGCUUCCGGAAUAACCCUAACAAGUACAUAACUGGAUUAUCUAAAUGGAUUCGCCAACAAGUCCGGCAUCAUGAAAAUUUUGGUAGUGCACUUGAAUCCUUGCAAGCAUUUGCUAAAAGAAACCAGAAAGGCAUUGAUUGUUCAUCACCGUGUAGUAGUGAAUUUCUCCAUGUACCUUCAAAUUCAAACGUGUCAUCAGCUUCUCAACAGGAGGCAACUAUUCAGCUGUCACCAGAUGUUCCUGUUAAAAGUGAGGAGCAAAAUUUGGUCCCAGAUGCUCAUUUUACUACACCCAUCAACUCAAUUAAUCCUGCGACAUCAAAUCAGUCCAGUAAUAUCACGGCGGCAAUGAAACAAAGUGGCCAGAAAGUUGAUGUAGAGAGUCAUUCUCACAAUGCAACACAAAGAAGAAAACAUAUGGACUCCACACCCAAAACGCCUGCAACUAAAAUAAAGAGAGCAAAAAAGAAUGAUUGGACUAAUUCUGGUUUUAUGAAAGAACACUGCUGCUUUAAACCACUGACUUCAACGCCUUUGCCUGUAGCUGCAAACUGCAUGUCCACAGCAAGCAGCAAACAAAAGAAGAAUGUGAAUAGUGCUAGUGAACUUAUUGAUGGUGUAAAUCAAUGCCAGUCAUCGUUCAUUUCAGAACAUAAACGAAGUGUACCAGAAUCACAUUUGGAAACAACUAAUUUUUCAGUUAAAAAUACUGAGGCUCCAGUUGCCGAGGAGCAUCUUGAUGAGCUACAGCUUCAAAUUGAGCCCUGCAGUGAGCUUCCUUCUGUAGGAGGGAAAUCUGAACUUUCAAUGUUAAAUGCAUCUGCAGAAGCUGAGGAUGAGGAUGAGAGCAUCUACUUCACACCAGAACUCUAUGAUGAUGUAGAAUCAGAGGAACAGGAAAUCAGACCACUAGAUCCAACCUGUAAUACAAAUGAGAAUCUGAGUGAAUGUGGAACAUCCACAGUAGCUAGUGAUCUUUUUGUAAUCAACACCUCAAAAACACUAACUGUAACAAAAGAAAUGGUUAAUGAUGAUGACAGAAACACAAGUUUACAUGGAAUAAUGCAAAACGAUGGGAGUAAGAAUAGUGCAGUUGAUGUUGUAAAGAUGACUAGUGGAACAGAAGCAGAGCAGAUAGAAUCUCAAGAGAUGGACACCAAAAAACGGAAAAUCAGUCUUUCCAGAUCACGAAAUAAAGGAUUGAAAGUUCAGAGACAAUGCAGGCGAAGAAGAGCUACUGUUAGGGCACGUGGCUACACCUGUGAAAGAAAGAAGGAAAACCACCAACAACCUUGCGAGAAAGGACUCUAUUGUAAAAUAUGUGGAGCUGAAAUACUACCAAAAGCAGAAGGAACUUUGAGAAAAACUUGGUACAGUAAUAUUGAACUGAAAAUAAUCUGGAAACUCUUCAGAAAUACUGCUGUAAGAAGUAAAGAAUCCAUUAAUAGUUGUGCAUGUCAACUAGCUGCCAGCUCAGAAGAUGAUAAUAUGAUGUUGGUCAUCUCGGAUGCUGCAAGUCUUAAGCAUCUAAAAGAAACUUUGAAGGUUUAUCAGAUGCCCAUGAAAAGCAAAGAUGUGAAUGCUGGUUUAUCUUUAAAUGCUAUUUGGAAUGAGAAGGAAUAUUCUCUGACAAGUUACUUACAAUGCAGGAACUGUGUCAUCCAGUCGAUUUCUCCAUGUCCUUUGAUAGGAGCUGAGGUUACUCACUUCAAUGAUAAAGUACAGUCACAGGUCUGGCUGCUUCCAUCGUCUGUUCAUUAUUGCUUAUUGCUACAGAACCCUAAGAACUGAAAACAGGCAAUUUAGAUUAUACUUUAUCUUAAAAGAUUUUGCUGAUCCAUACAUGUAUUCAUCAGGACUAGUAAGACAGAUAAGUAUUUUUGCUAUUUAAUGCUAACUGCAUAAAAAUACUCUGGUAUAAGGGGCGAAGCAGUACAAUCUUUGUGUAUGAGUGGAGGGAAAAAGCUACCUGGUUACAAAUUCUGGCCCCAUUGAAGUCAGUGGGGGUUCUGCCAUUUGCCUUCAACAAAACAAAGGUUUCACCGUUAUGUUUAACAGAAAUAUUUCACUGGGACUGUUGUCAGAGUGCUAGUAAAUAUACCAUUUUUAAAUAUACCUUCCUUUUCACAUAUGAAUGUUUGUUUACUUUGCAUGCACUUCACAGUAAUUUGAUACAAAAAUUUAUCUUCAAUUUCAUUUUAUUUCAGGUUGGUUUUGAAUUGGUUCAUUUUUUACUUCUUGUGCAUUUAGAGAACCCACAUGGCAACAUCUGGGCUAAAACAUGGUAGGGGAACGUUCACAUAUUUUGUAUUGCUGGGUUUUAAACUGAAUUAAAGAAAAACAGAAAUGAAAACAUUUGCAUUUGUUUAUGUAAUUAAAAAAAAUCUUAUAAAGCUGGGCCCAAGGUAGCUCAGUAUAUCCCUUUAAUGAACACAAACCUUCACCUUUUUUGCAAGCACACCGUAACUGGAGAGACAUACAUGUCAUAUCUACCAUAUCAAUGUCAUUUUAGAGGACGUAAAAAAAAACCCACUCUAUUUGUCUUAGGAAAUAUCGAAAACUUUUAUAGGGAAUUUGGAAAAUAUUUUUUGGCUAGCAUGAAAGGUAAAAUCCUGCAGCACAAAGUACAGACAUGGGCACAGAGACUGAACAGACGGGCUGCUGUAAAACAACCAUUUAAUAAGGCAUUAAAAUGCCAUCGACUUGGACACAUAAAAAAAAAGCUAUGAAAACAAAUGCCUUUCAAAUAAUUAGGAUCUUAUGCUUGAGACCAGUGUUGAUCUCUAUGCAGAGAUUUUCCUGCUGAAAUCAGACCAGUCUAAGUCUGAUCGUCUAAGGAAGGAAUUAGCAGCGUAUAAAUCGGCUGCUGCUUGAGAUUUUUGUUUCUGCCAUACGUAACCAUUCAUAUAAAUGAUCGCUUCAGACUUUCUAUCUCCUCCUUUCUGUUUCCUAAAGUAGUUUGGAAGACAUUUAACUUAGAAUGCCAGAAUAAUUUUUUAAUUGAAUCUCAGGUUUUUAUCCUGAGCGUGUGAAAUGGUUGAAUUACCAGCUUUUACUCACACUGUACGAGUGAAUCUGAGCCAGGCUAACAGAUGCAGCCAGAAAUAGCAACAGAAUCCAUUUCUGUUCUCAAAAACGUAGUAUGACUUUGCUUUCACUUGAAGUAAUGUACUUGUACUGAUUUUAAGAAAUAACAAUAGUUACUAGUGAUAGCUGGUGUGUAUAAUAAAUCAAAAUUUUAUAAAGUUAUCCUUUAAUGUAAUAAAAAAAAUCAAGAACAACUCUGUCACCUAUAAUGUAUGCAAAUACAAAAAUAAGAAUUAUAGUUGACCAUUCAUAUCUGUGUAUUUAAGCCUGGCUCACUGCUGUCAUGGUAGUCCUCAUUUGCAUAGCUCAAUAAAGCCUCACUAAUUACAAAGAACGUAUUUGGAAGGCUGUGCAUCUGUGAUAAUGGAGUUAACAUUAUAAAACAAAGUAACAGGGAUGUUAUCUAAGAGAUGAGCAUCAGAUUCUCAACUUUAAGUUGGAAUUUAAUAAUUUUACCUCAAAAGUAGUGUUGCUUUUUUCAUAUAGUAAACUUACUGUUUUGAUCUCCAUUUUACUGCAAAUUAAUGUCAAUAAUCCUGGAUAAAUUAAUGUAUGUCCCUUUUGUAUUUUCAUCUUGUUUCCUGUUCUGUCAUUAGUCAACAGCUAACCCCUAAGGCACAUAUUUUUAAACUUCUAAUCUUUCUUUCAGAUCUGUAAUAUCAGAAACUCUCAGAUCUUGUGUUUUUAACAUAGAACUGGGUCACAUGAUGAGAGUCCUGGGUGUAACUUUCAUAACCCGGCAGAAUAGGAGAUCUUUCCCUUGAUAUUGUGAUUUCUUCUAUUAAUCAGUUUUAUAUGACUUUCUGCUAGCCGAGUUUUUAAAGGUGUGAAAACUUGCACUACAGAGGUAUUUUAUAGAUUGCAACCAUGAUUUCUGAAUAAGAUUCUAAAUAACUGGUCUGGUUAUAAAGCUUUGGGCACAAUUUUUAGGUUCCUGUGAAUUACUGUUAAACCUGUGUUGCCAUUUGGCUAGAAGUACAUCCCAAUUAGUGACCCUCCUAUCUAGCAGUAGCAGUAUGCAAGUGAUAUUUUUUUUUAAGUCAGUCGUAAAUGAUUAGUCCAAAAGAGUAGCAUAAAACUUCGAACUAGUCCCCUGCAGGAGUCGGCUGGAGGAAAUUAAAGGAUCAACAACACAAGGGAAGCACUGAGGUAGGAUUGUUCCAGGCUGCAGCCACAGGCUUUCACAUGCACUCAGGAAAUUGACUUCAUCAAAAGCUGAGGAUGCAGGCGCGAGGAUGAGGAGGAUAACGCAGGUGAUGAUUCUAAAUCAUGGAUCAAUAUCACAUCGCUUUCCAAGGAGAGCUUUCCUCCCCACCCCAAAAAAAGCAGGUUUUCUAUAUAAAAAUUGAAUCUUCUCCUUAUGAAUUAAUAAAAGUUCAGCACAAAUCUGAGCUAUAAAUCUAAUAUAACUUAAUAAAUAAUGAAGACUCAGUUUCCCCAAAAUAAUAUCAGUUGGAUGUUUUUUUUGCAGAAGCAAAAAAUGACUCCUCAUAAGCUCCACUGCCCGUCUCAGAACGUUACCGCCCCAUGUGUGGAUUUGUGUGUUUGUGUGAGAGCUGUAAAACAAAGGACUCCAGAGUGCAUGGGACUUACAGGAUGGCAAGGCAAUUUCUUUAAUGUUUUUAAGUAAAUUCAUGCCGCAGAAAUUUGGAUAUUCUGGGCCUGUGAUGAAGCUGUAACCUUUCUAGUGGAGCAGAAAAGAAUCAGAAGAGGGGAAAUGCAUAAAUCUACAUCUGGAGCCAAGUAUGCUGGGAAGGCAUAAAGAGAUGGGGGAGCAGGAGUGCCAGAACAGGGCUGAGAGCGCGAAAUUCCAAGGGGAAAAGUGGGAGAAAGAAAGAGGAAUGUCCCAGGAAUGAAGCUCUUACAAUGUUCAAAACUUUCAUCGGAAGUAAAACGCUGGAAGGCUAUAAUCCAAAUAAGGAAAUUAGAACAAAAAUUAACAAUAUUCAGCUAGUCAGAUGUCAAAAGAAAUAGCAGAGUUAUUGGUGUUAGAGGUUAUUGCCAGGGGGGAAAAACUCAGCAUGCCCUGGGUAAUUAAGCUUCAUUGGAGAGCAUGGAUCCCUUCUCCAGGUAAGAAAUGCUUUUAUAACAUGGCAUCUUUUGCUAUUGUAAUUAAACACCAUGGGCUAUUCUGCAUAUGAAGUCUUAAACACUUUAGUCCUUUAUCACAGGAUUUUACUGGCCAGGCAUAUGUGUUCUUAUGGCAAAAAGCAUUGACUGCUAUAAAAAAAGAAACCCAAACAUUUCUUUUUAUUACUUGACUUGCUGUAUUUUUAUAUAUAUUGAGCCAAAUUCAUCCCUUGUGUAGCUCAGUUGAAGCCAAUAAGGAUAGAUUUGGCCCAUGUCUAUAUGAGAAAGGUGGUGACAAUUAAAAUAUAUUGUUUAAUAAUGAGAGCUAUGGUAGUGAAGUGUCUUUGUGUCUAUGAAAUUAUAUACCACGACACCACAUUGCCAGUAUAGACUGGGGCUAGCAAAACACAUAAGACCAGUUUCUGAUGGAAAGGUAAAAGCACUCUGACUUUUAUUAUUAUGAUUAAAUAUCACAAAGGCAUUCGAACAAGACUAAUUUAGGUAACAUCUCCAGAAGUCUCAUUUAUAGUGUGGUAUUUUGCCAUGGUGCAAGCCAUUUUAAAACCUUUCUCGAAUGUUAUUAUAUGUGGCUAUCAAGGAUAGUAUGACUGGCUGCUAUUAGCAGUAAGUAAAAGAACAGUUUUUAUUUCAUUUGUACUUUAGUGAUUUUCAGUAACACUGCAAAAGGAAUGUACCCUAUUAAAUGAAAUGUGCGGACAGCCAUUAUUAUCACUUUACACUGGUAAUUCCCAGUGGUUCCUCUGUGUGAGGCAUCACACCAGCACACGAAAGACGUCAUUGAUACCCCAAAGAUCUUCAGGUCUUGCCUGUUUAGGCAGUGAGAUAAGCAAAGCUUAUUGCCCAGGCAACCAGGGCAUCUGUAUUGGCAGCCAGAAACCAUAGCCCUGACUCCAAGCCUCCAUGUAUGCUGCCAGAACAGCAGGCUCAGCAGCACGUUGCUUCCUAACUGUGCGAGCACCAGUGCAAAGAUCUCUGGUUCAGAGGGGGGAAACAACCUGGGCUCCCCCUGGCCAGUGCUCAGGGAAAGUCGGUGCCCCCAGUGGCCCCCUGCUCCUUUCCGUCUGCUCUGACCCUUCGCAACUGCCUCGGGGCUCCCUGUCAGUAUGCUUUAGGAACAGGGGUGGGAAAGGUCAGAGGAGUAAGAGGACAGGUAGUUUGUUGACCCAAGAGCUGCGCUGGCUCUCGAUGGCCAUGCCCAGGAGGCAGCAGAAGGCAAUCCCUCGCACUGCUCAGCUAAUGGACUCCAGCAGAAAGAGGUAUCCCUUAAAUGAGAAUAAAGCUAUAAAAUACUGCCGACGCAAUGAAUUGCUCAGUUUGUCUAAUGCUACUGGUCCUCUAAGGAGUCUCUGACCUCCCAAAAAUAAGCAGAAAGAAAAUGCAGAACAACAACAACAAAAAAAACUUUUACUGUAGUUAUUGCUCAUUCUGAAUCUCUUUUACAGAAACCUGACCUUUUCAUUGAAUUGAGAUAGUAUUUUAUUAGAAGAAAGCAUGAUUCAUAGAGUUGGUGCACUUCAGGAUCUGUGCAAAGGAAAACUGGGAAGGACACAAAAAAGCUGGGCUGUGGAAAACCAUUGCCACACAGCGAAUCUCAAUCUGCACGCAGAAACAGCACAAAGGAAGAAAAUAUUUCCAAGGAAACAUCUGAUCAUAGCAUUGGAGCCAAUUUUCAAGUUCACGUUUUUCCUUGCAUUUCGUUCCUGGCUGCUGACUUCCUGCUUCCUGUUCUCUUCCUGUUUAUAGGAU